GAUUGUAGUCUGCAACUCGACUACAUGAAGCUGGAAUCGCUAGUAAUCGCGGAUCAGAAUGCCGCGGUGAAUACGUUCCCGGGUCUUGUACACACCGCCCGUCACACCAUGGGAGUCAGUAACGCCCGAAGCCGGUGACCCAACCUAUUCUGGAGGGGAGCCGUCGAAGGCGGGACGGAUGACUGGGGUGAAGUCGUAACAAGGUACC
rnacentral:rRNA from 1 species